rnacentral:rRNA from 1 species
GGAAGGCUCCUUCGGGAGUACUCGAGCGGCGAACGGGAGAGUAAUACCUGGACAACCUACCCUGAAGACGGGGAUAGCCACUGGAAACGGUGGGUAAUACCCGAUGGUCCCGGCAGGCUUGAUGGCCAGCCGGGUAAAUGGUGAUUCCGCUUCGGGACGGGUCCAGGCCCCAUUAGCUUGUUGGUGAGGUAACGGCUCACCAAGGCGACGAUGGGUAGCGGGCCUGAGAGGGUGAUCCGCCUCACUGGGACUGAGACACUGCCCAGACUCCUACGGGAGGCUGCAGUCGCGAAUCAUUGGCAAUGCACGAAAGUGUGACCAUGCCACGCCGCGUGGGCGAUGAAGGCCUUAGGGUUGUAAAGCCCUGUCAGGGGUGAGGAAGUGUGCGGUUGAACCGCAUUUGACGUUAACCCCAGAGGAAGUCACGGCUAACUCCGUGCCAGCAGCCGCGGUAAGACGGAGGUGGCAAACGUUGCUCGGAAUCACUGGGCUUAAAGGGCGUGUAGGCGGUCUUCCAAGUCGGGUGUGAAAGCCCUCGGCUCAACCGAGGAAUUGCAUCCGAUACUGGUCGACUAGAGUGCGACAGGGGUAAGUGGAACUCCAGGUGUAGCGGUGAAAUGCGUAGAUAUCUGGAGGAACGCCAAUGGCGAAAGCAACUUACUGGGUCGCAACUGACGCUGAGGCGCGAAAGCUAGGGGAGCGAACGGGAUUAGAUACCCCGGUAGUCCUAGCCCUAAA